UACGGAGGGUGCGAGCGUUGUCCGGAAGCACUGGGCGUAACGGGCGCGUAGGCGGCCUGAUAAGUAGGGGGUGAAAUCCUGCGGCUUAACCGCAGGGCUGCCUUCUAAACUGUCAGGCUUGAGCACAGUAGAGGCAGGUGGAAUUCCCGGUGUAGCGGUGGAAUGCGUAGAGAUCGGGAAGAACAUCAGUGGCGAAGGCGGCCUGCUGGGCUGUUGCUGACGCUGAGGCGCGACAGCGUGGGGAGCAAACAGG
rnacentral:rRNA from 1 species